UGUAUGGUCUCGUUCCACAAUCGGUGUCCCCAUUGUCCUGGUAAUUUACUGUUUUUUACAGAAUUACUUCCUGCCAGAGUACUUGAACCUAAGUAAAUCUCAUGGUUCUGCUAGUUACUGCUUUACCAAGAUGGCUGCAGAUAUUUUGAAGCCCCUGUCUAAAUGAAUGGAUAGAAGUUAUACUGGUGCCUGUGUGAAGUUACACAACAUUACGGUUUAAUUUAUGACUCAAUCCAACAAUCAACAUCUCAGGCUCCUCCCAUCAAACAAAUACAAAGAGCCAGCCACAUAAAAGUGAGAUACAAUAACACAAAACAGUUAGAGUUUCAACACAAUAAAUGCUUUAUUACUCUGUGAAAGAACACGUCACACUGCCAGCACAUAAAUGUUGCGUAGUCUCAGACACUCUCCGUCUCACUGAGGAGCUACAGCAACAGCCAAUUGGACCCUACUUACAGAUAACCACUACAAGAUGCCAGACACAACGCCCAGGGUGGAUACAAAAAGCAAAGGCAACAACACAACAAACACACAAUUAGCAGGUGACAGGACACACAACCAGCUCGUCCCAAAACCCCCAGAAGAAAAACAUCCUUCAAGUUUCAACAUUUUAUAAUCAACCUGGCCAACAUGCUGAAAGCAUGUGAUCCUCGUGAAAUAUAUUCUCUCUGUAUAAGCAGCUUUAGGGGGUCGUAUUAAAUAUGGGGCUCAAAGUGCAGUACAAGGUAAAGGUGACAAAAGCCGGAUUUCAGCCAAGCUGUGUUUACACAACAUUUGCUCAGCUACAUAUCUUCAAGUAAUAAAAUUAGAUAUAGCUACUCUUUAGGAGAUAAAAUCUAAAUACUUAUACAGUACAUAAUGAACAGGGUCCAUAUAUGUGUGUUUACUUAUAUAAUACUUUUAGGGAUCUAUAAAAUAAAAUAUUAGCGCUGCUAGGAAGUUCACACUACUUAAUAAAAUCUCAAAUCCCAUGACCCAUAAUAUAGAAUCCCUUCUGAAAAGUGCCGUGACUUUACCAUUCAAUAGAGCUUUUAAAAUAACCUAUCUUUUAUAAUCUACCUUAACGUAUUUGCAGUCAGUCAGCAGCUGAUCAGUCAGUGAGUGAGUAGCCGUCACUGUUUUGUGAAGCUGUUGUCCUGUUGAAGUGAAGCUCUGCGUGUGGAAGUGAGGCGGUUCAGAUGGCCGUUGAGGUGUUGCUGUCUUUGGGUCGGACCCGCGACC
ensembl:lncRNA